AUGCAAGCCAAUGCCGACCAGGUGGAGCGGGACAUCCUGGAGACCCAGAAGAGGCUGCAGCAGGACCGGCUGCACAUUGAGCAGAGCCAGGCCCUGAAGCACCAGCAGCAGACGGGCCGCAACCUGAAGGAGGCUGAGGUGCUGCUCAAAGACCUCUUCCUGGAUGUGGACAAGGCCCGGCGCCUCAAGCACCCGCAGGCCGAGGAGAUCGAGAAGGACAUCAAGCAGCUGCACGAGCGGGUGACCCAGGAGUGUGCUGAGUACCGAGCCUUAUAUGAGAAGAUGGUGUUGCCACCCGACAUGGGGCCCAGGGUCAACUGGGCAUGUGUGCUGGAGCAGAAACAGAAGCACAUCAGUGAGGGCCAGUACGGGCCGGGCAUGGGGGAGCUGGAGCAGCAGGUCGCAGAGCACAACAUCUUGCAGAGGGAGAUCGAGGCCUAUGGGCAGCAGCUGUGGAGCCUCGUGGGGCCGGAGGCGAACAGCAUCCGAGGCCAAUACCGGGACCUACUGGUGAGCAGGAGGGGAGGGAGCUGGGUGCAGGCUGGGCAGGGCCCACCCCUGUGCCCCAUCUGACUGGGCUUCUCCCACCGGCUUCUCUCCCUGCCCUGUGGCCGCUGGUCCGGAGCACAGAAGGCGGCCUCGUGGCGCAGGCAGAGCCUGGGCAGCCUGUACACGCACCU
rnacentral:lncRNA from 1 species